rnacentral:rRNA from 1 species
UACGUAGGGUGCAAGCGUUAAUCGGAAUUACUGGGCGUAAAGCGUGCGCAGGCGGUUGUGCAAGACAGAUGUGAAAUCCCCGGGCUUAACCUGGGAAUUGCAUUUGUGACUGCACGGCUAGAGUGUGUCAGAGGGGGGUAGAAUUCCACGUGUAGCAGUGAAUGCGUAGAUAUGUGGAGGAAUACCGAUGGCGAAGGCAGCCCCCUGGGAUAACACUGACGCUCAUGCACGAAAGCGUGGGGAGCAAACAGG